rnacentral:lncRNA from 1 species
CCCUACUUUAAGACAAGAGCCUAAGAAGAGACUUAAGAAAAAAAUAGAGGAAGAAAGAGAGGGUUUAGGAGUUCAAGUCUAAGUCAAGGAGAAGCCAAGUCCAAGUGAAGGUGCGGGUUUGAUUAGAUUGGGUCAAAUCGAGUUCUAUUGGUUAAAACCCAUCAACAAGGUUUUGGCAUAACGAGUAUUGUUCCUAGAGUAGUUUCCAUGUGGAUCACCUGUGGAGGGCAUACGCUUGUGUGCCUGUGGAGAUUUGGGUAUUUAGCAUAAGAGGUA